rnacentral:rRNA from 1 species
UGGGGAAUCUUGCGCAAUGGGGGAAACCCUGACGCAGCGACGCCGCGUGCGGGAUGAAGGCCUUCGGGUUGUAAACCGCUUUCAGCAGGGACGAGGCCUUAUGGUGACGGUACCUGCAGAAGAAGCUCCGGCUAAAUACGUGCCAGCAGCCGCGGUAAUACGUAUGGAGCAAGCGUUAUCCGGAUUCAUUGGGCGUAAAGCGCUCGUAGGCGGUCUGUUAGGUCGGCAAGUUAAAUCCGGGGGCUCAACCCCCGUCCGCUUCCGAUACCGGCAGACUUGAGUUUGGUAGGGGAAGGUGGAAUUCCUAGUGUAGCGGUGAAAUGCUUAGAUAUGACGAAGAACUCCGAUUGCGAAGGCAGCUUGCGGGAGCAAAACUGACGCUGAAGCUCGAAAGUGCGGGUAUCGAACAGG